CUAUGAACAUUAUAAAUUGUUAAAAAGUUAACUAUUAAAUAAAUAAUAGAUAAAUGAGUUUGAUUUAAAAUCAUUUUGUGGUAAAAGUUCCUGGAGUUGAGUAUUAUAAAAAAUACUUGAAUAAAUCAAUCGAAUCAACACUUAUAUAUGGAUCAAAAUGACGAAUACAGAUAUCAAUCAUGUAAUCUACAACAAUACCAUACAAGUAUGAGCGACUUGAUUGGAUCAAAGUAAGACUAUCACUCGAGUAUUUAGCAUGUUCGCCCUUCCUAGAUGAAAGUUGAUACCCCAGACUUCUUCAAGUUCUCGCACCAUCAAGAACGUCAUGCACAUGCGAUUCAAGUUCCAGUGGCCGGAUUUCUGGCGAGGUGAACGCGUUCCCCCAGGUGGUAUCUCUCGUUUGCGUUCACUCAUCGCGCGAGUAGAACAGACCGAGUCCUUUAGCAGUCCUCUUCAGUCGUGUUUGACCAGCCAAAGAAAGGACUGUAUUAUUGCAGCCGACGUGAAUAACAGUUAAUUGAACAUACCAAAAAUUUUCAGGUCUACCUAAAAGACCGGGAAAGCCGGUCGUAGUGACCGUUGGGUUUAUGAUUCAACCGGCAAAGUAAAGAAAAAGAACUGAAGCGUAUCAGCACGUGGCCAGUAGCUUGACACAACAAUAUUUAAACGUAUAGUCGACCAUUCACCACCACUACUUCUAUAAGCUUCCACCACCUCGACAUCAGUUUGACUCCUGCUGACUGCUACCACUGUUAGUCCGACAUUAGCUUCAUUUUUACCCUGUCCAAUCUGCUGAGAACUCUAGAAAAUAAAACAUCAGAUUAAUAAUACUUCAUCUCAUAUUUCAAUGAAAUUAAUAACUAUGAUUAGCAUUUUUCUAUUAAAUUAUUGAUCCAAGAAAUAUUAUUAGUUUCAAA